rnacentral:rRNA from 1 species
UACGAAGGGUGCAAACGUUGCUCGGAAUUAUUGGGCGUAAAGCGCACGUAGGCGGCUUAGCAAGUCGGAAGUGAAAUCCCACGGCUCAACCAUGGAAGUGCUUUCGAAACUGCUGAGCUUGAGUACGAAAGAGGAUCGCGGAAUUCCCGGUGUAGAGGUGAAAUUCGUAGAUAUCGGGAGAACACCAGUGGCGAAGGCGGCGAUCUGGGUCGAUACUGACGCUGAGGUGCGAAAGCGUGGGGAGCAAACAGG